rnacentral:rRNA from 1 species
GACGAACACUGGCGGCGUGCCUAAUACAUGCAAGUCGACCUUAGUGGCGAAUGGGUGAGUAACACGUGGGUAACCUGCCCAUCAGAAGGGGAUAACACUUGGAAACAGGUGCUAAUACCGUAAAUUGAUGGAUGGACUCGCGGUGCAUUAGCGAGUUGGGGAGGUAACGGCUCACCAAGUCCACGAUGCUUAGCCGACCUGAGAGGGUGAUCGGCCACAUUGGAACUGAGACACGGCCCAAACUCCUACGGGAGGCAGCAGUAGGGAAUCUUCGACAAUGGACGAAAGUCUGACCGAGCAACGCCGCGUGAAUGAAGAAGGUUUUCGGAUCGUAAAACUCUGUUGUUAGAGAGGCGGUAUCUAACCAGAAAGCCACGGCUAACUACGUGCCAGCCGCCGCGGUAAUAC